AUGAACGCUGGCGGUGUGCCUCAUACAUGCAAGUCGAGCGAACAGACGAGGAGCUUACUCCUCUGACGUUAGCGGCGGACGGGUGAGUAACACGUGGAUAACCUACCUAUAAGACUGGGAUAACUUCGGGAAACCGGAGCUAAUACCGGAUAACAUGUUGAACCGCAUGGUUCAACAGUGAAAGACGGUCUUGCUGUCACUUAUAGAUGGAUCCGCGUCGCAUUAGCUAGUUGGUAAGGUAACGGCUUACCAAGGCAACGAUGCGUAGCCGACCUGAGAGGGUGAUCGGCCACACUGGAACGGAGACACGGUCCAGACUCCUACGGGAGGCAGCAGUAGGGAAUCUUCCGCAAUGGGCGAAAGCCUGACGGAGCAACGCCGCGUGAGUGAAGAAGGUCUUCGGAUCGUAAAACUCUGUUAUUAGGGAAGAACAAAUGUGUAAGUAACUAUGCACGUCUUGACGGUACCUAAUCAGAAAGCCACGGCUAACUACGUG
rnacentral:rRNA from 1 species